UACGGGGGAGCAAGCGUUGUUCGGAUUUACUGGGCGUAAAGGGCGCGUAGGCGGUCAGCACAAGUCAGUUGUGAAAUCUCCGGGCUUAACUCGGAAAGGUCAACUGAUACUGUGCGACUAGAGUGCGGAAGGGGCAACUGGAAUUCUCGGUGUAGCGGUGAAAUGCGUAGAUAUCGAGAGGAACACCUGCGGCGAAGGCGGGUUGCUGGGCUGACACUGACGCUGAAGUGCGAAAGCUAGGGGAGCGAACGGG
rnacentral:rRNA from 1 species